AGGAUAAUAGUUAAUUAUAACAUUUAAUUUGCAAUUAAAAAGUAUUGGUUCAUCAAUUUAUCUUA
rnacentral:tRNA from 1 species